AGAACGAACGCUGGCGGCGUGCUUAACACAUGCAAGUCCAACGUGAAAGGGGAGCAAUCCCCCGGUAGAGUGGCGAACGGGUGAGUAAUACAUGGGAAUCUGCCCUGAUGUGGGGGAUAACGUAGGGAAACUUACGCUAAUACCGCAUACGACCGAGAGGUGAAAGCGGGGGACCGAAAGGCCUCGCGCAGCAGGAUGAGCCGAUGUCCGAUUAGCUAGUUGGUGGGGUAACGGUCUACCAAGGCGACGAUCGGUAGCUGGUCUGAGAGGAUGAUCAGCCACACUGGGACUGAGACACGGCCCAGACUCCUACGGGCGGCAGC
rnacentral:rRNA from 1 species